AUGGCUUCUCACCCUUUUGGCUAAGAUGAAGUGUAGUAUCUGUUCUUAUCAGUAAGAUGACUUUCACUAUCACUAAUGGAAUCACUGCUAUCUAUUGGCUCAAUGGAACUUUCUUCUUUUCAUGCAACUUUAACUAGGAACCAAACCAAGGACACUUGCUUUUACCUUCUUUUGAGGAUUUCAUGGAAAUGUGACAUUACAUUGUCUUUAAACAGAUUCAUCUCUCAU
ensembl:snRNA U2 U2 spliceosomal RNA